CUUUGCUGAUUUGCAUGAGCCCAGAACAAAUCCCCCUUAGCUGACAGAUUCAAAGGUGUCUGCUCACAGUCCCUGCAGGAGUCAGCUCCAGUCAGAACACAGCAUGGCCAUGAAGGCUCCUGCUCAUGCCCUGGUAAUUUUGCUACUGUGGUUGUCAGGUGCCAGAUGUGACAUUCAAAUGACACAAUCUCCAUCCCUCCUGUCAGCAUCUCUAGGAGACAAAGUGACCAUCAAUUGCCUGGCAAGCCAAAACAUUAACAAUGAGCUAAGUUGGUAUCAGCAGAAAUCAGGACAAUCUCCUACACUCUUGAUCUAUAAUGGAAACAGUUUGCAAUCUGGUGUCCCAUCAAGGUUCAGUGGCCAAUAUUCUGGGAGAAGUUUCACUUUAAGUCUCAGCAGCGUGGAGGCUGAAGAUGUUGCAAAUUAUUAUUGUCUACAGGAUUACAGUGCUCCUCACACAGUGAUACAAGCCAUGACAUAAACUACUGAGGGAAGCAGAAGUUGGAGGCUAUGCUGUCCCAGCUGCUUCUCCUUCUGUGUUUAUGUGCUCAGACUGCUUGUAUAUCAAGAAAUAGUUUUGCUUUAAAGUACCCUGAUAUCUGCACAUAAAUCCUUCUUUCUCUGA